rnacentral:tRNA from 1 species
CGUAAUGUAGCUMAGUAAAGCAUCUCGCUUACACCGAGAAAAUGUCCGUGAAAACCAGACCAUUUCGA